CUCUUCUUCCUUUGUCUUAAUCUCACUCAGCUGGUCUUCCAGGGUGCGGCACAUCUUCUCCAGAUUUGCCUGUGGAGGUCACAGAGAAUGAAAGAAGAUUAGGAUCUAGACGCCUUCUUAUUCAGAAGAGCGGGACUCUAAGCAGAAAAACAUGAACAGACUUGCAAGCUCUGGACUGUUCCUUGGUGUUAGAAGUCAACAGGGAGUUUUAGGGACAGAAACAGUAAGUGUGGAAGCUAAACAACUACAUCCUUCUAGAAACUGCCAUCCUGCUUGUCCUCUAGCCAUACUGAUGGAUGUUGCCUUCUUGGUUUCACACUGGCAGACCUCCUCCAGCAGAAAGGUCGGUCCUGUGAUGAAGAAUUGUCAUCCAACCUUGUGAUACAGGACAGCAGGGCUGAAGCGGGACAUCGACUGCAGGGAAGCUGUCCCUUUCUGCCAGCCACAGACGUGCACUUACCAUAAAGUUUUCUCUGGAGACAGGAGAGCACAAUUUCAAGAACACUUUUAUAGAGUCUGGGCAGUGCAUGCUGCAGAUGCCUCCUCUGUCUUUGGGCAAAGCAUUUUUGGCAAACCUUGUCUUUGGCAAAGCAUUGUCUGGCAAACUGAAUGAACUGAAAACUGGAAAGUGAUGUUACUGGAUAUAAUUAGAAAAUUUUGGUCUCUGACUAGCUAUGUGAAAAAAUCUCCUAUAAAUAAUAUGAGAAGGUUCCUAAGACAGGACAUGCAGCUAAUGAUGACCAGAGGAAUGAGGGUAACCCCUAGUAACUGUAAGCCAUAGAUGCUCCAUGAGUCUGAGCUAAGGGAGCAGGGACAACCAUUCACUGGGCAAGCACAGUGACAUUUGGGUGCAUACCUUAACUUUUUCUGAGGCCAAUCUAAGUCUGAUGACAGUUAUCCUUUCACAGAACUCUCUACUUACAGAUCUUGGAUAUGAUAUGUGGAUUUCACUGUUGUCUGCACUGCUGAACUCAAUUAGGUUAUUAAAUACUACUCUGUUUCACUUUGUUCAGUUGUAACGUAAUAUAGCACAGUAUGUCAGAGACAAGAACUACCUUGAACUAUUCUAAGUGCUCUUUACAUUGUAUUCCAUCUUUGGAUAUAAAUAUAAAAUAACAUUCAUCUGUGUAUCUUCCAAUAUUCUGGAAAUCCAGAGUUCAGAGAUUCAUAGCAGGACCCAUGACUGUGUUCAAGAGUCUUUGCUAGAUUGUUGUUCCUUUGAUUUAAUCAAUUUAAGACCAAUUUUGCUUUUUGGCAUUCAAAGAUCUCUCUGA